CAGAGGUCACAACGGAUUUGUGCUGUGGGUGAAAUGAUGGCGAGGGGAGGGCUUUGGUAGCGCAAUGUGUUGGGGCAGGAGA